rnacentral:rRNA from 1 species
UACAGGGGGUGCAAACGUUGCUCGGAAUCAUUGGGCGUAAAGCGCACGUAGGCGGUUCGUUAUGUCGGAUGUGAAAGCCCUUGGCUUAACCGAGGAAGUGCAUCCGAAACUGGCGAGCUAGAGUACUAAAGAGGAUCGCGGAAUUCCCGGUGUAGAGGUGAAAUUCGUAGAUAUCGGGAGGAACACCGGUGGCGAAGGCGGCGAUCUGGGUAGAUACUGACGCUGAGACGCGAAAGCGUGGGUAGCAAACAGG